AUUGAACGCUGGCGGCAGGCCUAACACAUGCAAGUCGAACGGAGCGGCGGACGGGUGCGUAAUGCCUAGGAAUCUGACUGGUAGUGGGGGAUAACGUCCGCAAACGGGAGCUAAUACUGCAUACUCACAGAUGAGCCUGAGUCGGAUUAGCUAGUUGGUGGGGUAAAGGCUUACCAAGUCGACGAUCCGUAACUGGUCUGAGAGGAUGAUCAGUCACACUGGAACUGAGACACGGUCCAGACUCCUACGGGAGGCAGCAGUGGGGAAUAUUGGACAAUGGGCGAAAGCCUGAUACAGCCAUGCCGCGUGUGUGAAGAAGGUCUUCGGAUUGUAAAGCACUUUAAGUUGGGAGGCGUUACCAACAGAAUAAGCACCGGCUAACUCCGUGCCAGCAGCCGCGGUAAUUC
rnacentral:rRNA from 1 species